rnacentral:rRNA from 1 species
GACGAACGCUGGCGGCGUGCUUAACACAUGCAAGUCGAACGGAAAGGCCCUGCUUGCAGGGUACUCGAGUGGCGAACGGGCGAGUAACACGUGGGUGCUCUGCCCUGCACUUCGGGAUAAGCCUGGGAGACUGGGUCUAUUACCGGAUAGGAGCCAUUUUUAGUGUGAUGGUUGGAAAGUUUUUUCGGUGUAGGAUGAGCUCGCGGCCUAUCAGCUUGUUGGUGGGGUGAUGGCCUACCAAGGCGGCGACGGGUAGCCGGCCAGAGAGGGUGGACGGCCACAUUGGGACUGAGAGGCGGCCCAGACGCCGACGGGAGGCAGAAGGGGGGAAGAUUGCACAAGGGGCGCAAGCCGGAUGCAGCGACGCCGCGGGGGGGAUGACGGCCUUCGGGUGGUAAACUCCCUUCGCGAGGGACGAAGCUUUUUGUGACGGUACCUAGAGAAGAAGCACCGGCUAACUACGUG